GGCUUAAUGUCUUGUAAUUGGAAUGAUGGGAAUUUAAACCUCUUCCAGAGUAUCAAUUGGAGGGCAAGUCUGGUGCCAGCAGCCGCGGUAAUUCCAGCUCCAAUAGCGUAUAUUAAAAUUGUUGCAGUUAAAAAGCUCGUAGUUGAAUUUCUGCUGCAUUGCUUUUGCUCCUUUACGAGUCUUUGCAUUGUGGCUUAUUUCGGACUUUGUUUUACAAUGUCCGGAUGUUUACUUUGAGAAAAUUAGAGUGCUCAAAGCAGGCUUUCGCCUUGAAUAGUUUAGCAUGGAAUAAUAAAGUAGGACUUUGGUUCUAUUUUGUUGGUUUUAGGUACCAAAGUAAUGGUUAAU
rnacentral:rRNA from 1 species